AGCCGAAACGGGCGGAAGGCCCGUCGCAUGGGGAUGGCCGCCCAUGCCUGAUGAUGGCAGGCCGAA
rnacentral:hammerhead_ribozyme from 1 species